rnacentral:piRNA from 1 species
UGCUGAACUACAACCAACAAAUGGUGAG